GCAGACGGUGACUUUGGCCGUGACAGAGCCUGGAGGUCCAUGCCUUGCUCUGGGCUGGAGCUGGCAGUGAAGCAAAGGGGCAGGUGCCGGGCGCAGGAUGCUCUCAUUGUUACCGUCUGCAGCGAAAGUGUCUGUUCCCCGUCAAGUUUCAACAAGAACAUCUAGGUGAAAGAGAUGCUGUUGGGAACGUUUCAUUUUUGCAGAUAUUUGGCCUUUGGAUUGUGUGUUGACUGAAGACCUGCAAGACUUCACCUGUCUGGGUAUAAGCACUCAGCGGGUUGGGCAGCAACCCUUGAGCAUGGGAGACGGUGCAGCUGCCUCCAUCCUCCCACUGAGAGCCACCAGUGCUACAGCGAGACGGCAGGCAGGUUGCACCCUCACCCGCAGGACGCAUCUUAGUUUGGUCUCACAAAGGGAAUGUUGUUGUGAGGAGCAACUGCUGUGUUUCAGCAGGAAAGUGUCUUUCAUGAUGCCUCUGGAAGUGAAGUUAGGCUGGCUUCGUAUUUCCACCUGAGCUGUGUCUGGGAGGAGGAGAGCUCGGAGGGGUGUUCGUGUGCUCCUCUGAGAUUGCAUCCUCAGCAGAAAGCGUAAACAACUGGGGGGAUGUUCCUGUGGCCAGCUGUGUGCUAGCAAAAUUACUGCUCUCAUGAUCAGUGAUAAAGGUUUUGCUGCUGCUCAGAAAUAUACCGAAGGUUCAGACCAGAAUGAAAAUCAGUUCUGCACACGGUUGUUCACAUUGCGUGCUCUUUUCUGUGCACGAGGGCUCUUUGUACUGUCUUCAGGGGGAGAAAGUCUGCUGUGGAAAUCCAUCAUGUCCUAGCAGUUUAGUAGAAUUACAGGGAACAUGCUUACUUACCUAAAAGAACAAAUGUGAACAUAUGGAGAUAGCUUUUUUUUUCCUUAACCUUAGGAAGUACCAGCAAAGAUUUUCAUGUUUGUAAAUUGUCAUUUUCUUAGAGCAAAGCCUUAUGGAAAAGUCAAGCGUUUUUUUUAUGAAAGAUGUGAUGGAAACUAUUACAGCUCUGAUCCUCGUUAUUGCUUGAAAAACAGAGGUAGCAGCAGAGGGGGGAAAGUAAGCACCAAAGGUCAGGUAUGAGCCACAGGAAAAAUGAUGGGGCAUCAUCAGAGUUUUCUUUGGCUUCCCGAGGUCCCUACCUGUCCUUCCAGGCAAGAGGGUCCUUUCUUCAUUGGCUCUUGUGUGGAUCUGUCCUCUGAUGGCUGAGCCAAUUGCUCCUCUCAGAAGUGACCAACAUGAGAAUAUCUUUGCUCGUGAGGAACACAUCUGGGCAAACGCUAAUAUCUUUCUCUGUCCUGCUUGCUCUCACUCUCAGCUCCUUUUGACUUGGAAGGGGAGAGAUUGGCCUUUCAGUGUAUGAAAUGCCAGCUGGGAUCAAAUCAAUGCCAUUGAUUUAAUCUUGCGCCUCCAAAGAGCUGGGAUUUUUCCUUUUAAUUUUUUUUUUUCCUCUGGCUCUAUUCUUUGAGAAGUAGAAGAGCAAAACAAAGGCGUUGAGUGCUGCCAGUGGUCCUCAGGCACAGAGGCCAGAGCCAGAGCUGCAGAGCCCUCCGUGAGUUUGAAUAGCUUUGCUCUUGCUGGACUAAAUCAGGUUCGGAUGUAGGAACUUGAUUUUCACUUUCUGGAUUGGUUUGGUUCACUGUUUGUGAGCCCUAACGGGACAGAGUCCCCUUGCUCGCUGGUACCAGUCCUCCAGCCAGCCCAGGGCUAGAUGCCCAGCUGGCGUAGUUGACAGCAUGCUUUAGAGAGUUAAGCCAGUUUACAGUUGCUGACAUUAUGCCUCUAUACGUUUUUUUGACAGAUUAUAGUUGUGCCUGCACUGGCUGUUCAAGGCAGUCACCAUUGACUCCUUUCGCGGCCGGAGCGAGCCCGCAGCAGCAGCAGGGACGGCAGGCUGUCAGCGCGGACCGUUGCACUGGGGAGCAGGAGGUGCUGCACCCGUCGCUGCUCCGCUCCCCGCUUCUCGGGGCGGUACGGGCACAGCCCGCAAAUCCCGCUGGGGAGCAGCUGUGGUUUAUCAGGUUAAGGCCUCUGCUAACGUCAAGCCAAGAUCUUCUUACGGACCCGGCAGUUCAUGAAGUAUCAGAGCGCAGAGCAGGGCAACUCCUAGUGAGGCAACUAUGGAAAAAUAUAAAUGGAAAGACAUAAACUUGAUAAUGCAAAUGAGUUUACUUUCCUUUUUGUACAGCAGAUGUUGUUUGACCUAGAAGAAAGAAUAAUAUUAUAGAAAUUGAGAUCAGUCUGAGGGGAAAAAAUAAAGUCGUCUAAAAAUAAAACACAAAUAGCAGCUGCUUGAAUUGUAUUUCUAAUAUAUCAGCGUUGACAGCUCUCUCUUUCCCCCAGUUGAGCCAGGAAUCUUAUGGAAGUGACUUGUAAAGAAGAGCUGUUUCCUGAGGAGGGAUGCGAGCAGAGGCGAUGGAGAGGCAGAGGUGAUACCGCUUCGUGUCAGUGUGUGUCCUGGGCAGGAACGGUCUUCGGAGAUGUGCGAGGGGUUCCGGAUGGCAUCACUGCGCAGGCACAUGGUCAGACGGUCUCACCGUCGGUCGCAACCUGUGUCAUCCAUGGUAUGUGACUGAGAAGAGUGCAGCUGACGUGCGGUGGCUAAACCUUUUAAUUUUACCUGGGGGAAUCUGGCUGUACAAAAUAAAGGAAUAAGUCAUCCAAGGCCUGCUUCAGGGUGGCAGCUCUGCUGGAGUUGCCAAAUUUGAACAUGCAGUCAAAUUCACCAUUGAGCCGAACUCUCCCCUCAGGCAGGUGCCAGGAUGUGUGUUGACCGCAGAGUGCUGUGUGUCGAUCAGGGGAAUGGUCAGGUUGCCUCUGUGAAACCUGUGCUGCCCUGACCCUCUGCAGAUCCCUAUUUUAAGGCAUUUAAGUGGUGUUCUGGCUUUGUGUUAGUCUUCCACAGAAGGUGAGUUUCCCCGUCAGUGAGUGGGAUUCAUGCUAUCUCUUGUCUGAUGCAAAAAAGAUAAGAAGUAUCAUGGGAUUUCUGAACCUCCUGUAAAUGGAAACUGCCGGCCCUAUCCCCCACUAAGCAAUGUGGUCUGGAUGAUGAAUAGGAUGUAUCACAGGCAUAAUUCCCCCUCUUUCUGUCCCAUUUUCCUGAGAUCUUACACAGACCUCCACCUACUUAAAGUCACUCUUGGCUUAUCUUGAAGAGAUUUUAGGGGUAUUUCCCAAAUCAUUCCUUAACCUCCUAACUUGCUGAAAGAAAUACCCACUUAUGGAAGGGAAAUCCUGAGGUAAAUCAAGCUUUUCAGGAAACACUUAGUCAGCAGAUAACAGGUAACUGGAAAAGGAUGAGCUAGGAGCCUGCUCCUGCUCACCGUAACUGUUCCUGGGAAGCAAGAUGGAGAGAUGAGCUUAGCUGCCUCCCUUUGCUCUGCGGCCAAGGGAUGUGUCAGCCUUGGUAUGAGCGAGUGCAACUCCAUUAAUUUCCAUUUGCAUUUGAUUACAUCCAAGGCUGAAGUUGGUCCAUGGUGUUUUAUUGUAUUCCUUUAUUUGAUUUUGUUUUAUUUCUGCUUCCUAUACCAUAAAGCUGACCAGCUGAACCAUACAGCAUGUAGCAAUUUACGGUAAACCCUCCUUGUUCGACUCAGUAAUGGAUGGAAACAAUUCUGAAGUUAAUGGUAUUAGUGAGGAAAUACAGUCAUUCUUAACCAAUCUUGUAAUGCCCUUUUGGAAAAAUGAUACUUAAGACUACUUUUAUCAUUCGAUUUACAAGUCACAAAUUUGUGCAAGAAACUUGACUUUAAGUCAGUCACACACCUUAUAAACUGAGCAGGGCCGGUUCACAAAUGGUUUUACAGCUCCAUACACUUCCCUGGAGGAGCCAUCUCCUUCCUGCUGGCCAGACACAUUGCCUUGAAACGGCUGCCAACUUUUUAAGAGUUCCUUUUUGGCUAUAUUCUUCUUUUCAUAGCAGCAUUCAUGGCCCCAGCCCAGGUUCAUAAGGAACAAAGUGUAAAAUUAAUCAAUGGGUUGAUGCACUGUUUAGAAUAAAAACAGCCCAGUUUUGGCUGCAUUUUCUGCCCCUCCAGCCAAAAGAGUGCAUGUGUGUACAUGAAAUGUAAUUUAGUUUUUCCUUUGCUGCCUGUUGAUUUUCCUCUAAUUCAUUUUCCUUUUGCCUCUUAUUGAGUCUCCUCCUGUCUGGGUAAGCUUAACCCUGUAGUGCCUGGUCUGUGCAGCUCACAGCAACCCGAGGGACCCUGUAGGUGGGCCCUGGGAUGGUUACAGGCUUCAUUAGCCGCUGGAAGGGAUAUGACGAUAUCCAGGAAAAGGGCCGUGUGAGCUCAGCAAGCCACAAGUGAAGCCUUUGGUAGGUAAAAUCUACCUGGAGUUUUAACGACUUGUAAAGCCCUGAGAAAACCUCUCACUUGGUAUUUAUUGCCUUGAAUGUCUUCCAAAUGAACUUUAUCUAAAAUGUAGCUCAGCCUUUUUGGAAGUGCGUGUGCCUUGGUUGAAGCCGUUAAUACACAAAGCUGUUCCCCCCCUCCAUGGACAGAAACCACAACUUCUCAGUCACAACGGGAUGUAACUUGGGGCUCUGUGUUACAGAGCUUUAGUGCAUAAACAUGCACAUUGACACUUUAAAAUAACACUAGAGGUUGUUAAUCAAACAUCUUGAAGCAGAACGCAAGCCCAUGUAGCGUCUGAAGCAAGAGGAGGGUUUAAGUGGGCCAUCGGGUAAUUGCAUACAUUUCACAGAUGCCAAUGAGCCCUUUUCAGACAGGGGAAAGUUGACAACAGCUGUGUUGGUAACCUUAAUUUCAGAAGUAGCUGGUCUGGGAAAAAGUUAAUCAUAUUGUAGGCACUGUCUACCGCCACUCAAUCUUGUUUCUAUCACUCUCAAAGUCAUGUAUUUUUAAAAAUACCAAAAGCAAUUUAAAAAUACAUCUAACAGUAAUCACUUCAUUGGAAACAACACACUGCAAUAACAUAAAACAGCAGCCACUUUCCUGUGAAGAUUUAUGAGACAGACUAGUUUUCUCACGACUUAUGUUAUUCCUGCCUUAUUGUUUUGUCAGCAUUGGAUAUGGAAAGUGGAUGAUAUGUGAACACUCUCCAGCACUAGAAAGCUUCCGAGUUUUGAUUAGGUAACAAAAUUGAAAAAGUGAGUUUGCUUGCCCUGUUCAAUCUCUGUGAUUUAAAUUUGGGUAUAACAAAGAUGCCAAAGCAGGGAGCUGCCCUCUCCCGAGCCGGCAUGACUGUGACUGUGGCUCUCGCAGAUCCGAUCCGGAGCCUGAUUCUGAAUUUCCCCUGCUGGGUCUGGAAAUCCAAACGGAUCGUAAACGUCGGAGUCAGACACUGACUUUGCAGUACGACGAGAGGUAAAAUGAUAGCGGUGGCGAACAAAUGGAGACAUGGAGAUACUUCAGGGCAUGUAAAACCACGUUGAGACAGGCCUUGUGAUCACAUCAGUGUGGAUGGCUCAUGCUGUGUCCAAGGGAAUUGGCUGUCCCGUGUUUGUGGUGGCUGACUGCUGCUGUCCCCUAGAAAUCAGCAACGUGAGGUGACGAUGGUAGGCCAGAAAUGAGGAGCCUGGAUGGAAAAAAUUCCUCAGAAAUUAAUGGAGGGAACUUACAGCCUGUGAAAGCCUGGGGAUUUCAGCCCAGCGUCAGUCACUUUGGAGACAGAAGGUAACUGAGAGGCCGCUUGGUGGGACCCAUGCUGCCAGCUUUCAAAGUGAAAACACAAAGCUGAUUUUUCAGCAGUUGCAUGCGUACUUUGGGUUCACUCCCCCGCCCAUCCCAUCGAACCGGAAUACGUCUGCCCUGAAUGUGGAGACAAAACCUCCAUUAGAGAGUCAGUACUCCCUAUUACAAACAUGCCUCUCACAGCUUGCACUUUCUCAUACCAAACACCUGUUAAAUCCUCAACAGUAAUACAAAGAAGCAAACGCUAUCUAUGGCUUUUAAAUCUAGACCAGUCAUAGAAGUGAAAUUUUAUUCAUACAUAUAUUAUAUAUACCUCUAUAUACAGAGAGAGAAUGUAUAAAUAAUAAAAUGGGAUUUUCUAUAUGCAGUUUACCACCCUGGGACAUAUUACAAAGCACUUUUUAUUAUAAUCAAACAGGAACCAAUAACAUAAAAAUGCACUAGUCUUGUCUUAUUGCUAUUGGUUUCUCACACCUUUUAGUCCACUUCCCCAAUGGCACCCCCAAUGGCAUCUUGUUUGGCCUUUUUGUAAAUUAAUUGCAACCUUCUGCAAAAAAGUUUAUUGUGGAAAUGUCAUAAGUCAGCGUAUUCUCUACUGGCAUUGGCAUGCUGCAAGUCCCAAGUUCCUUGGGUAGAUCUGCUCACUGCACAGUUGGCUGACAUCUACCAGGCACACUUACUGAUGUGAGACUAUUUUGUAGGCUCAGGCCAUAUAAUCAUAAUAAUUUGUAGCAAUUCAUUAAAAAUAAGUUGCCUGUAUUCCUAACAGAACAGCAAUUAAUGUAUAUUGAAAUAGUGAUUGCUUUGCUGUAGUUCAUUAGGAAGUCAAAUUUUAAUUCCUAUUUAAUUACUACCAUUUAUUACCAAUAAUUCUAAUGAGGUAAAAUAAGAGAUGUAUUGAGAACUAAUGAUAAUGUUACAAAGGUUCAUUUGGAAUUCACACGAAAAUUCCUAUUUAAUUACAAUGGAAUUACUUCCACUUCAUUCGCAUGAAGUGGGAUGUGGUUGCGAUCCUUGCUGAAGGAUCGGCCUCUGCCAACCACGGUUGUUGGUUCACGUUCCUCUGCGCUUCAACCUCCAGCGUGCGGACCAGCAUCUGCGCCAUGUGCCAGGAUGCAGCAGGGCUGAAGGGAGGACCGCUGCUCUGCCUCUCACAGAGCCCAUUCUGCACGUGGAUUAAGGGCGCGUCCACGCUUGCCCCGAGCCCAUGCUUGUCCACAGUGCUGUCUCACCAGGCCACCGACUUUUAGAUAGAGCUCUGAAGACAGGCUGUGAUCAAACGGGAGGAACUGCCGAGUCGGAGGAGGCGUGCAGAGGAGGAUGUGGUGGUAAGUGCCCUCUGCCUUGGGUCUCCUGCAGGGAGACGGGAGUUCAACCACGAGCCGCCAGCGCUCAGGAGAUAAGAUGCAGAGAGCAGCUCUGCCGCCCAGCAUUCGUGUGGGGAUCGUUUCUGAGUUAGAACGAGAUGCGGGUGGUUGUAUGCAAUGGAGGGGGGAGCGAGAUGUGCAUGAGGGGGCGCAGUGAAUUCAACAGGGAUGUAAAGCUGGAAAAAAUGGUGGAAAAUGCUG